UUGCAUUUUCCUAACCGCGUCAUUGCUCUGUACCGGCUGUACGUGUAGACUCGGGGUUCGACUGAGGAGAAAAUCAAAAAAUAUUUUCGAAUAAGACAAUAUGGCUUUAGUAUCUGAAGGAAGAUCAACACUUAAUCCCGACGCGCCUCUCUUCAUCCCGGCAUCAGUACGCCAAGUAGAGGACUUCUCGCCUGAGUGGUGGAAUCUAGUGACGACCUCGACUUGGUUUCGUGACUAUUGGCUCAGCGAGCACCAGGAAGAGGAUAUAUUGGGCAUGAAGGAUGAUGGUUUUGAUGACAAUGAUGUAGCUAAAUUGCUGCCAGAUAACAUUGACCUCCUUGUGGAUGAUGAUACCUUGAAUAUGGAAGCCCAAUUUGAGGAAUUUCUCCACUUAGCUGAGCCUGAAUAUGGAAGCAAGGCUGUCAAGGGAAUAUCUGAAAAUGGCUUGAACAGGAAUGCAGAGGCUGUGAUCAAGAAUCCGGGUAUGUUAAAUUGGAGAGGUUCCAAGUUCAUGGGGGAGCCGGCUAAUUACUGGGAGAAGCCGGCCAAGUAUGUUAGCCCAAAAUCCUGAAGUGUAGAUUGUUUGGGUCUUGGUUUGCAGCUAGACCAAGAAGUGGCAGUCUUUUGUUUCUUGUAGCAUUAUGUAUAGAGCAACGUUUGUUUCUAGUUAUGUUCCAAAACCGUACCUGCGUGAUGGAGGAGUAACGAAACAAGCAAAAUUUAAUUUGACAUCCAACCAUAGUGCAGAAUCGACAUGUUUCAUUCCAAGAGACAUAACAGGUAACAGAGUGCU